rnacentral:lncRNA from 1 species
ACCAAAUAGAUGCUCAGGGUAUUCAAUCUCAUAGAACUCGAGGAGCUUGUUCACUUGGUCGUCGAAGUUUGACCGUCGAUUCCUUGAAGCUUGGAGAUGGAUCGCAUUCUCAUCGCAACGCGAAGACGAACAGGCACAAGCAAGCAAACACAUAUAUGCAUAAGAAUAUUACACCAUACAAAUACAAACAUAAUAAAACAUGCAAAAAGAAAUAGAGCGUGUUACUAUGAUCACGCGAGGAAAAAGAAACGCGACGGUCGGGGCUACGGUCGAGAAGUCAUCGUAUUUACACUAAAUAAGUGUUAAUCGACAUAAUCAUAUUAAUUAUAACUACUAUUUAGUUUUGAUUAAUCUGCAACACUAACAACUAUCAGUUAAGUAAGUAAUUUAAUUAACACGAGAGACUCUAAGUGGGGCGAAAUUAACGACACGUGACAAGAUGCGCGACGUGCAAAAAUAAUGUGCGAACGAUGCACAGCCACACGCGACUUAGUGCGCGGGCGACGCGCGGAGAUGCGCAUGAUCCGCACGCGCGACACGCACACACAAUGUGUGACGACGCGUGCGAAAUAGCACGACAGCGUGCAAACGACGCGUGGACAAACACGACAUAGCACGUUGACGACACACGAAACAGCGUGUGCGACCAGUGCGAAUGACGCGCUAAUCAGCACGCGACCACGAGCACAUCACGCACGAACAGCGCGCAGACAGCACCUACGACACGUGAGAAUUACUAAUAAUCAUCGCGUUUAUACUAAAUAAAUAUUAAUUCACAAAACACUUGAGGUGGCAUUAAUCAUUUUAAUCGGUAUUUUCAAAGCGCCAAUUAUAAUUAUAAGUUAUGCUUAACUAGAUUUCUAUUUUAAUAAUUACCAAUUAACUAAAUAAUUAAUGAAAGCCUGUGUCGCGACAAGAUAAUGCUACUAACACGCGGGGUAUACAACUGGGUUUGGGGGUAGACGGGCGUCGUCUACGGGUAGACGAACGUCGUCUAGGGGUAGACGGAUGUCGUCGGGACCCCGACGACAUGCUGCACGUAUGCGAAACAACGUGAGUCAACUCGACUACGCGCGCGAACAACACGAUGACGCACGCGAACAACAACAAACAAAUAAUUAAUUAAAAGUAUUUAAGCUGGUAUUAAUCAAGUUAAUUAACACUUAUAUUUAUAAAAGCACGAAUUAAAACUAUAAAUUAUUGUUAACUAAAUUUUAUCUAAAUAGCCAACGGACAAACUAACAAUUAAUUAAGUAAAUAAAACAUGUGUCAUGACGAAGUAAUAUUUUUAAUGUGUGCACGAUAUUAUUAUGAAGCUAACACGAUUGGAACGGAAAGAAUCGGACCACUAACACAAAAGAUAUUGAGUAAUUAAAUUUCUGCGGAUUCAAAGCGACGUGGCGUGAUCCUAUUGGCUGGAUUAAGGCUACACGAGGGGUCACAUAUUUUUCAGCCACAGAUGAUCCAACGUUGAGCCAUGACGUGGGGGUCAGGUGGUUGCAUGCAUUGGUGGGACCUACUGGUGGUUUUUUUCUUUCUUCUACACGCAUCCUCCCUAGAAUCUAACAACACCACGCACAUGGGGCUCGGCCAGGGAGAACAGCAGCCUACCAGCCGGCCUGCUGCUGCGGCUUGCCUGCGGGGAGGGAGGGGAGCGAGAUAAAUGAGGGGAGGAGGGGGUAGACGAUCUCACCUCACCAGACCAUCACAAGUCACGACGACGCACGGCGAGGAGAAACGUGGACAGGUCAGUGAAGCUCCGGUGGGGAAGAUGCUAGGCGUCGGGGUUUCUUCAACCGCUCGCCAGGGCCUGGCCGUCGCGCUGGGCAUGCACAAGCUGCCGCGUGCACCAGCUGGCCGCCACGAAACGUCGGGCCACCGCGCAGGGCGAGCCGUGCCUGGCCACGCUGCGUUGCCGGGGGCAGGGUGGGAGCUCGGGUACGACCGCGUUGAGGCUGCCGAGGGGCUGCUGUGCAUGGGUGUGAGACAAGGCGAGGGGAGUGGAGGAACCCCAAGUUCCCGGUUGCAUGCAGAUCGCAAAUUAUGCGCAGGAGAGAAAAUAGGAAGUGGGAAGUUCUUUCCUCUAUUUUUCUCAACCGCACAAGAUGCACCAGCGCAAGGAAAAUUUGCAUGCGUUCAUGCGCGAGGUGGGGCUUCGCAGGGACGGGCGCCUCGCCAUGCUCUGGUGAUGCGGGGCGCGGGGCUGGCGAGCUGGGCUGCGCUUGCACAGGCCCAGAAGAGGGAGGGGAAGUAGGCUGGGUCGCCAAGCAAGAGUGGGCUUUUCCUUGUCUCUUUCUAUUUUCUUCUUUCUAUUUAAAUAUAGCUCUAGCUUUUAAAUUCGAAGUUAAACAUGCUUCAUGAGUUUAAAUGGAGGCACGACAACACAAAACGUCAUACAAAAUUAGAUGCUCCAGCAUGUGAUGCAACAACAAUAACUCCCUAGGGUUUUAACUUACUACGAUUAAUAUUUAUAUAAUACAAAAUAUCUCCUCAAUAUUUAUGAAAAAGAGAAGUAAAGCAAAGAAAAGAGAGGGUAACACCUGAAUUUGGUGAAUAUUAGAAAAAAAAUUAUACCCCCAAAAUCAGGGUGUUACAAAUCUAACCCCCUUAACAGAAUCUCGCCCUCGAGAUUCAAGAAGAAGCUAGAAAGAAAAACAAGGUUGGUUCACUUCGAUUCAAUUUUAACACUACCAGCUUAACUUGCGGACAUGAUACUUUGACCUUCAGAUGUUCACGAUCAACUGAUGCAACUCUUGAGGAUCUCUUGGACCUAUGGGUUAGGACCCACACACGCUUUCGCUGCGCCACUUUAAUCGUGUUGGUUGAUGUUGAUCGCAUUGUCCUCAUUGGGUUUAGCGGCUAACCCCCUUAACAGGAGCGUUGAUACGCACUUGGUGAAGAUGUUGUCGACUCUGGUCUUGACUGAGUAAGAGAGGUUGGAGGCUGCCAACUGGACAGGUGCAAGAGGAAAGAGUAUAGAUAGAAAAGAUAAUCAUAGAUAGAUUAAAGAGAGAAAAGGGAGAGCACCCAGCUACCUAACUAUAUAACACUCACUUAGUGAACUGAUGUCAUUGCGGACCAAGGACCACAACCCAUCAACACUCACUUCAAAGAAGCAAAUCAGUUAUAACACAAAGACAAACAUCAUGGGCACACCACAACAAACAUCUCGUUGCUACGCGUUAAGGUUAACUAGAUGGUGGCCUUUCCUUACAAAGGGGAAACUACUCCAAGGUCAUCGAAAGGCAAGAGGAAUGAUAAGACAUGCAAGUUAGGGGCAUGAGCAUAAUAAAGGAUGGAGCUAAAACAAGGAUUGUAAUCUACAAGGGAGAAAUUGCAACCAAGGGCAGGGUAGGUAAACAUCAUUCUCAAAUCGAGAUGGGAAAGAUGAUAAUUCAAAAGGUAGGCUUGAAAGAUAAGCAUCAUGGAAAGAUCUAGUGUUUACCAAGGUAAAGGAGGUAACAGGCAAAAAGCACACCAAAGGAUCGAGUUAAGACAAGACUUGCAACGCGAUAGAGGAAAAGGGAAUGAACAAGAGUGGGGAGGGGUAAUACAACACUCUUGUACUGAAACAAAAAUGGAGGCUUUAAAAAUACAGAUACGGGAUAAGCAUCAAGGUAAGGAUCGAGGGAUGACAAAGGUGAGGGUGACAAUGGGCAAACACACAACAAAGGAUGGAGUUGAAAACUCGCAAGUGACAAAGAAGAUGAUACGUCCAAGAGAAAAUUAGGUAAAACGUACAACUCUUAUAUUGAGAUGGGAGAGAGAAGAUUUUAAAGGGCAGGUAUAAGAUAAACAUCAAGGUAAGAUAUAGAGGUGGUAAGGGUAAAGGUGAUAAUGAUGAAAAGCAUAACCAUGGACAGAGUUAAGGCAAGACCGACAAAGUGGAGAAAUCAAGCAAGGGUAAGAUAGGUAAGGUUCCAACAAAGUGGUUGAAGUAAAGAAAAUUAAUUACCAAGUGGAGUUACAAGGAUACAAUGAGAUCACCAAGGAUAUGCAAAGUAAAAUGACCGUUCAUGGAUCAUUAAGAAACAUGGGUGGUCAAGAUCAUGUAAGUUGAAAAAUGUCUUAAACAAAUAUUGGGGUAUGAAGAUAAGCAUACAUAAAAAAUACGAGAGUAUGCAAGACUCUAAGGACACGAGUAUACUAAAACCAAUGGAAUAUAAAUUGUUGAAAGAUAAUGACCUAACAACAGAACAGGAAAGGGUCUCAAAAGACAGGAAGAUCAUGGUCAUAUGAACUGAAAUGUCUAAGUAGGCAGUAGAAAUUCAGGUGUAAGUAUUUGAAAUAAGAGUAUUAAAGAAUUCAGGGAUACGAGUAUGUCAAUAACAAAGGAAUAAGGAUUGCCAAAUGGUAGAAAUUUAAUGAUGGAAGAGGAAUAAAUCCAAAAGGCAAGAAGGUUAUGGUCAGGGGCAUCUACAAGGAUGUCACAAGCACAAGAGCGAGAUCAGAUCUAGUAGAUUGAGAAAAGUAUAGACCAUACUAGAAUAAAAUACUUUUUGGCAAGGGGCAUAUAGGAGCACAAUAUAGAAUUAGUCGAGGUGACUAAUAUUUUGAAACAAAAUCAAGGAUGAGGUGAAGUAAUAAUCAAUAAGUCCUUAAAACGACCAAUGCUACUCUAGGUCAGCGGUCCUACAGUCAGCAAGGCUUUGAUACCACUUAUGUCACACCCGGUUUUAGAACGUAAACCGAAUGCGAACCAUGUACGUGCCAGGAUCAGAAAUUCACGUACACAGCGAUUAUAUAAAUGACUCAUCAUAGCACAAUGCUUCGAAUUACAAUAAAGAGUAAGUAAUAAUAUUACAGACUAGAGCCAUUUACAUAAUAUAAAUCAAAGUACACAGAAUCGAAACGUAGCCAACGUAAACAACCCACCACAGGCAGCUGACUGGGGGAGGUCGCUAGCCUAAUCCUCGAACUCGUCGAUGUCCUGGAACUCCUGGAGAUCCGCCUCGACGCCUUCUUUACCUGAGCAUAGAUUGCACCAAAGGCAACCUGGUGUUUUGUGAAAGCAAGGGUGAGUACACAUCAACGUACUCAGCAAAUGUCCCAUUUGGCUGAGGUGGACUAGCUUUAUGUGGGGGUUAAGCUCAAGCAGUUGCUUUUAGUUGGUCAGGUAUUUAUUAUUAGAGGAAGCCAAGUUUUAUCAUAUAACCAACCCGUGAAUCAUUUCCUCAUCGAGGAACAUCAUUAUCGUCAUCGAACCAAAAUAAUAAAUAGAACCAUUGUAUCUCAGAUCAUUUGUAUCUCUAAUCAAAGAGGAUCCCAAGGCUGCUCUUAACCGUGAGCACGACUGAUAUAUCAGUUUCAUUACCCUCUGCAGAGGUCGCACACUUUACCCAUGAGCCGUGAUUCCCGUUUUGCCCGGGGAUCAUGACUCCCCAUUGAUCACUUCCUAGGUGGUCCGGCCGGGUAUCACUACGUAGCUUUUACAAAGAUUCCCUAGAGGUCAUAGCCGCCCGUUAGGUUUCUCCAGUUUGAUAAACACAGUACCUCUCCCCGCAGGAGAGUGACUAAAAAAACAAAACGAAAGAACCUCGGCACUCAGCCUCGGCAGAGCAAGCACUGUGCCUGGACCCCAUUGACGGCACAACGGCGAAGCAACUACACCUCUAGUUCCUCUAAUUAAUUAGCUAAGGGCAUCCCAUUUCACCCUCAUGGUUGCACUGUUAUCUCGGGUGGUCUCUCAACGAACAGGUCCUUACGGAGAGGUACUCGGGAAACAGCCCGAGUCCCCUUAAAUACCACAAGUAUAUCAUCAUAUCCAGAAUAAAAUCAUAGUAUCAUCAUUGUAUCUCAUCAUGUUCAUUGAUUAAAGUAAAGGGCUAGCAUGUAGCUAACCAUAGUAACCCAAAAGGUAAAUCAAGGACAAGGUAAAUAGAAAGCUAGUAAAUCUUUAGGUUGUUCAUAGUAUACGGGACAAUGUAUUAUAAAGUGAAUGGGACAUAAUGGGUCAGAGGACACUUGCCUUCACCAAAUAGAUGCUCAGGGUAUCCAAUCUCAUAGAACUCGAGGAGCUUGUUCACUUGGUCGUCGAAGUUUGACCGUCGAUUCCUUGAAGCUUGGAGAUGGAUCGCAUUCUCAUCGCAACGCGAAGACGAACAGGCACAAGCAAGCAAACACAUAUAUGCAUAAGAACAUUACACCAUACAAAUACAAACAUAAUAAAACAUACAAAAAGAAAUAGAGCGUGUUACUAUGGUCACGCGAGGAAAAAGAAACGCGACGGUCGGGGCUACGGUCGAGAAGUCAUCGUAUUUACACUAAAUAAGUGUUAAUCGACAUAAUCAUAUUAAUUAUAACUACUAUUUAGUUUUGAUUAAUCUGCAACACUAACAACUAUCAGUUAAGUAAGUAAUUUAAUUAACACGAGAGACUCUAAGUGGGGCGAAAUUAACGACACGUGACAAGAUGCGCGACGUGCAAAAAUAAUGCGCGAACGAUGCACAGCCACACGCGACUUAGUGCGUGGGCGACGCGCGGAGAUGCGCAUGAUCCGCACGCGCGACACGCACACACAACGUGUGACGACGCGUGCGAAACAGCACGACAGUGUGCAAACGACGCGUGGACACACACGACAUAGCACGCUGACGACACACGAAACAGCGUGUGCGACCAGCGCGAAUGACGCGCUAAUCAGCACGCGACCACGAGCACAUCACGCACGAACAGCGCGCAGACAGCACCUACGACACGUGAGAAUUACUAAUAAUCAUCGCGUUUAUACUAAAUAAAUAUUAAUUCACAAAACACUUGAGGUGGCAUUAAUCAUUUUAAUCGGUAUUUUCAAAGCGCCAAUUAUAAUUAUAAGUUAUGCUUAACUAGAUUUCUAUUUUAAUAAUUACCAAUUAACUAAAUAAUUAAUGAAAGCCUGUGUCGCGACAAGAUAAUGCUACUAACACGCGGGGUAUACAACUGGGUUUGGGGGUAGACGGGCGUCGUCUACGGGUAGACGAACGUCGUCUAGGGGUAGACGGAUGUCGUCGGGACCCCGACGACACGCUGCACGUACGCGAAACAACGUGAGUCAACUCGACUACGUGCGCGAACAACACGAUGACGCGCGCGAACAACAACAAAUAAAUAAUUAAUUAAAAGUAUUUAAGCUGGUAUUAAUCAAGUUAAUUAACACUUAUAUUUAUAAAAGCACGAAUUAAAACUAUAAAUUAUUGUUAACUAAAUUUUAUCUUAAUAGCCAACGGACAAACUAACAAUUAAUUAAGUACAUAAAACAUGUGUCAUGACGAAGUAAUAUUUUUAAUGUGUGCACGAUAUUAUUAUGAAGCUAACACGAUUGGAACGGAAAGAAUCAGACCACUAACACAAAAGAUAUUGAGUAACUAAAUUUCUGUGGAUUCAAAGCGAUGUGGCGCGAUCCUAUUGGCUGAAUUAAGGCUACACGAAGGGUCACAUAUUUUUCAGCCACAGAUGAUCCAACGUUGAGCCAUGACGUGGGGGUCAGGUGGUUGCAUGCAUUGGUGGGACCUACUAGUGGUUUUUUCCUUUCUUCUACACGCAUCCUCCCUAGAAUCUAACAACACCACGCACAUGGGGCUCGGCCAGGGAGAACAGCAGCCUACCAGCCGGCCUGCUGCUGCGGCUUGCCUGCGGGGAGGGAGGGGAGCGAGAUAAACGAGGGGAGGAGGGGGUAGACGAUCUCACCUCACCAGACCAUCACAAGUCACGACGACGCACGGCGAGGAGAAACGUGGACAGGUCAGUGAAGCUCCGGUGGGGAAGGUGCUAGGCGUCGGGGUUUCUUCAACCGCUCGCCAGGGCCUGGCCGCCGCGCUGGGCAUGCGCAAGCUACCGCGCGCACCCGCUGGCCGCCACGAAACGUCGGGCCACCGCGCAGGGCGAGCCGUGCCUGGCCACGCUGCGUUGCCGGGGGUAUGGGCGGGAGCUCGAGUACGACCGCGUUGAGGCUGCCGAGGGGCUGCUG